UCUAUCUUUAAUACCAAAAAAGUUAUGCAAAAUUUACGAUCUUAUAAAGUACAUGUUAAUUGUAAAAAACGGAAAUUUCGAUUUUUCUCAAAAACUAUAAUUUUUUCAAUUAUAAUAAUUAUGUGCAAGGUGCCCCUUCACUAGGAGUGCUUGGCAGUUUUUAAAUGAAAGCUUUAUCUUUAAUAACCAAAAAGUUAUGCAAAAUUUUCGAUCUAAAAAAGUACAUGUUAAUUGUAAAAAACCGAAAUUUCGAUUUUUCUCAAAAACUAUAAUUUUUUAAAUUUUGAUAAUUAUGUGCAAGGUGCCCCUUUGCGAGGAGUACUUGGCAGUUUUUAAAUGAAAGCUCUAUCUUUAAUAACAAAAAAGUUAUGCAAAAUUUUCGAUCUAAAAAAGUACAUGUUAAUUGUAAAAAACCGAAAUUUCGAUUUUUCUCAAAAACUAUAAUUUUUUCAAUUUUGAUAAUUAUGUGCAAGGUGCCCCUUCACUAGGAGUACUUGACUGUUUUUAAAUGAAAGCUCUAUCUUUAAUAACAAAAAAGUUAUGCAAAAUUUUCGAUCUAAAAAAGUACAUGUUAAUUGUAAAAAACCGAAAUUUAGAUUUUUCUCAAAAACUAUAAUUUUUUCAAUUUUGAUAAUUAUGUGCAAGGUGCCCCUUCGCUGGGAGUACUUAACAGUUUUUAAAUGAAAGCUCUAUCUUAAAUAACAAAAAAGAUAUGCAAAAUUUUCGAUCUAAAAAAAUACAUGUAAAUUGUAAAAAAUCGAAAUUUCGAUUUUUCUCAAAAACUAUAAAUUUUUAAAUUUUGAUAAUAAUGUGCAAGGUGCGCCUUUACUAGGAGUACUUGACUGUUUUUAAAUGAAAGCUCUAUCGUUAAUAACAAAAAAGUUAUGCAAAAUUUUCGAUCUAAAAAAGUACAUGUUAAUUGUAAAAAACCGAAAUUUAGAUUUUUCUCAAAAACUAUAAUUUUUUCAAUUUUGAUAAAUAUGUGCAAUGUGCCCCUUCGCUGGGAGUACUUAACAGUUUUUAAAUGAAAGCUCUAUCUUAAAUAACAAAAAAGAUAUGCAAAAUUUUCGAUCUAAAAAACUACAUGUAAAUUGUAAAAAAUCGAAAUUUCGAUUUUUCUCAAAAACUAUAAAUUUUUAAAUU